rnacentral:lncRNA from 1 species
CACAAUUGAUGCUGUUGUUUGCUAUUGGAUUUUUGAAGGAGGGGUGGAAUAGGCACCGAAGUGCUAGUUUACCUUAAAACGGUACCUCCAUGGCUAUGCGAGAAUAAAACUGUUAUGGGCCAUUUUCUUCUUCUGGUGGCUUUCAUCGAUACUCCUGUGAGUUUGUGAAUUCCAUCUUUAGUGUUUUUGGAAGCGCUGUUUGAGAAAUUGGUUAUGUAUGCUUGAUUGUUGCUGCUUGGACUUCUCCUUUGUUUCAGGCAUGCUUUGUCGGUGCUGGAGGCGAUAGUGAAUCUGUGUUUAUCUUCUGAAAUCUUCUUAGGUGGGCUAGGCUCCUGUUCUUGAUUGAGCUUUAUACUUUGACUUUGGGCUGAGGUAGGCUUUCUUUUAUAAUCUACCCAAUUGAGCUUUAAAUGCAUGGUAAAAAAGAUUAUAUUGGCUAAUAUAUAUGAUACCAAUCUUGAUAAAUUUACAAGUCAAUUAUUUUGUUUAAAAAAAUACAAUGAAAUUACUUUGUUUACAAAUAACAAUUUAAAAGCAAGUGCAAAGCACAUUAUCUUUUCUGAAUAAACUAAAAAAGUGAAAAAAAAAAAGAAGAGAUUAUUUCACAUUUCACAAGUCACAACCUCUUCAAUUCUUCGUUCAAUACGACAAAGCUUAUUCAAGAAAUUAGCAUAUAUACUGCUGCUUAAAAAGUAAGUUUCUUGCAGAAUUAAUAAAUUUGCGUGCUAUAGGUGACUUCGACUAAAUCUGAUAAAGAUUCUAUUUGACCAAGAAAAAUUGCUUCUACAGAAUGGGAGACAAAAUAGAAAAUUGUGCGCCACUAAAAUUGACAUUUCUUGCAUAGGGAGGUACAGAAUGUAAAAUAAUAAGACAACUCCCAGUUGCUUCCCGUCAAACAAAAGGGAAGCAUACCCAACAUUCAAUCAAAAUAAAGGGCAAGUGCCCUACUGUUCUUUGAAUAUCUCACAAUGGCCAAUGUCACUUCCUUGGGAUUACAGUGCAGAACUCAGAAUAAAGUGCCUCAGCUUGAAAUGAAAUGGAUUUCCAGAGCUAAGAUAAUCUAACCAGACUAGUUGCCAGGUCUGUCAAAAACCUGUGCAUACAAUACACAUUCAUCACAUGAUUUUACAAUCAGGGCUAUGCAUGUAAUUUACAAUAUGAUUUUACAAAAUUGCAUUGUGCUACCGAUGUUUAUGUACUCAUCGUGAGUUUUCUUGCUGACUUUUCUAGUGCCAAUCAUAUUGCUGGUUUUCAGUUAACAUGCUCGCAACUGCUACCAAAGAAGCCACUUGCGCCGUGGGAGUGGCUGACUAGAAGUACUGGUGGAGUUUGGAGUUACAGUGAUUCUUUCUGCAUUUGCGGCAACCCAUUGGCUGAAAUCAGGAGAGGCAACAAGUUCUUUG